UACGAAGGGGGCUAGCGUUGCUCGGAAUCACUGGGCGUAAAGGGUGCGUAGGCGGGUCUUUAAGUCAGGGGUGAAAUCCUGGAGCUCAACUCCAGAAUUGCCUUUGAUACUGAGGAUCUUGAGUACGGGAGAGGUGAGUGGAACUGCGAGUGUAGAGGUGAAAUUCGUAGAUAUUCGCAAGAACACCAGUGGCGAAGGCGGCUCACUGGCCCGUAACUGACGCUGAGGCACGAAAGCGUGGGGAGCAACAGG
rnacentral:rRNA from 1 species